UACGGAGGGUGCAAGCGUUAUCCGGAUUCACUGGGUUUAAAGGGUGCGUAAGCGAAAAAGUAAGUCCGUGGUGAAAUCUCCGAGCUUAACUCGGAAACUGCCGUGGAUACUAUUUUUCUUGAAUGUUGUGGAGGUUUGCGGAAUAUGUCAUGUAGCGGUGAAAUGCUUAGAUAUGACAUAGAACACCGAUUGCGAAGGCAGCAGGCUACACAAAUAUUGACGCUGAGGCACGAAAGCGUGGGGAUCAAACAGG
rnacentral:rRNA from 1 species